CGCAUCGUUUCUUGAUUCUGAAACUAGACUUACAUACGUUCUGGAACAUGUAAGGUUUGUGCCUUAGUUACUUCUAGGAAAACUCAGUUUCGGUUCUGAAGUUAAUGGUUUGUUAACUCUGGAAAUCUGGGUAGGUUUUGGAGCUAUGUUAUUCAUCAAUGUUGUCAUAGUUAAAUGUACUUACUAGCUAUGGGUCCUUAUGAGUCUUAAAGAUUGUUGAGUUGGUGAUGUUUUGGCGCAAGAAUCAUCGAAAAAUAUUAAGUGUACGAUUUUUAGUGAUCUUUCGAUCACAGACAGUUCUGCUGAAUUUUGUAUUUUCUGCAUCGACACAUCUUGGAAAAAUAGGCAUAUCUUUUAGCACAUGUAUCGGAUUUGCGAACCGGUUUGUGAUUUGGAAACUAGACUCUUGUACCUUUCAGAACAUGUAGGGUUUGUACCUUGAAAUUUCGUAGGUAAAUACAUCUUUUGGUUCAAACUUGGCUGAUCUGCAGAAACUGCAGAUUUGUGUUUCUAAUCGUGCAUCUUUGGACAGUCGUAACUUUGUCAUUCAAAAUCUAUUUAGGACAAACUCUAUAUCGAUAUUGGUGUACUGAAAGUCUACUUUCUAAUGAUGGCGGUUUCAUGAUCCAACUUUGAUCCUAUAAAAUGCUACAGUCUUUUAAAAACAGGCUGGUUGUAGAAUGUCUUGUUAUUUUGGGAGUGUUGUUGUGUUUGAACUUCAUGUGUGUUAUUCUUUGGCCAUUGUUUAGUUCCUUAUGAGCUUAUUAUUCUUGUGUUGAUCGUUCGUUGAACUUAUUACUAAUACGGUUAAACGUGUGAUUAGGUAACGAGCUGAGUAAUCGGGAGGUGCCAAAACCGUAAGUUGGCAUACUUCGGUCGACUCACAGAUAGCAGGGGUUUGUAGGAUGGUCCACUACCGGUCGGCGUUUUGGGGUUGGCUUUGAGGAUGUUGAUUGUGUUGGUGGUAGUGAAUUGUCUUGUAUAUAUAAUCGACUCGUUUUGUAAAGGAUGUUUUGCACUUUAGUUUGCCAAGUAUGUAAAGUUAUGGGUAUAACGUCGACUCUUUUAAUAAUAUUAAUGUUAAGUCUUCCGCUGGUUUAUUCUGAGUUAA